UACGGAGGGUGCGAGCGUUGUCCGGAAUCACUGGGCGUAAAGGCGCGUAGGCGGCCUGAUAAGUAGGGGGUGAAAUCCUGCGGCUUAACCGCAGGGCUGCCUUCUAAACUGUCAGGCUGGAGCACAGUAGAGGCAGGUGGAAUUCCCGGUGUAGCGGUGGAAUGCGUAGAGAUCGGGAAGAACAUCAGUGGCGAAGGCGGCCUGCUGGGCUGUUGCUGACGCUGAGGCGCGAGCAG
rnacentral:rRNA from 1 species